rfam:Neocallimastix californiae strain G1 LY90scaffold_1550, whole genome shotgun sequence.
GGUUACGGCCAUACACACUAGAAAACACCGGAUCCCGUCCGAUCUCCGAAGUUAAGCUAGUGAUGGCGCAGUCAGUACUAUGGUGGGGGACCACAUGGGAAUACUGCGUGUCGUAAUUU